UCCCUGCACUGGCACCAGGUUAAUAACUCCUUUAUCUCUACUGAAGUCUGGCAGCACUAUCAUCAUUCAUUUGUACUGGUGUGGUGAUCCAGAAGACACCUUGUCAACCUCAAUGAUGCUGUUGGGGCAGCAUAAACAAGGCACUCCUGUUUCUGAAACAGUCCCCUGUCACAUGCAGAGCAGCUGAUGGAACAGAGAACCACCUUUGUACACGCUCAGUGCCACCCAUGGAUACACAUUGCUGCUGGAGCCUGGUGCUGCUGGAGAGGUUACAUGGGACUGGAUGAGCUUUGCAACUUGGUUGAGAUACUGUGGCUUUAUGACUGCAUAAAGGAAGUCCAGGAGCUUGUCUCUCACUACCAAGUCAAGUUUCAUGUUCCACUCCAGAAGGAAUUUCUUUUGUUGGAAUGGCCCAAAUCAGGGUUUGGAGGCCUCAUCAUUUGGCAGCAGCUCAUCAGCUUGUCUUCUGGAUCUGUUUCUGAGGUGCUAUGGCCCUGUGAGAGGGUGUGCUCUGCUGCAGCUGGGGGGACACUUGAUGGUGUUUUGAGUGUUCAGGUGACCCUGAGUCUUGAAGAUACAAACAGGAAAUGCUUUUUAUAUGGGGAGACACUGACUGAAGAAAUACUACUACAGCUUCUAGUGGAAGAGCAUGUCACAUGUUGGGUGUUUUCAAACAAGAUGAUUUUAUUAUAACUGUUCUAAUUUGUUAUGAAUAAUUACCCUGAUCUGGUCAGAACCAUCAGAGACUGAAUGAAACCCAACUUUAUUCCAAGGACAAGUGCCCACUCAGUUUUAUAACUGCCCUUCAAAAAUUAAAUAUGAGUGCAGAUUAAGUCCUCUGGAAGGACAAGCCUGGACUUUACAUGACAGCCUGGCUGUGGGAAAGGCCCUAUCUCCAGUGCUCCUUGGGUGCUGAAUCAAACCAUAUGUUCAUCACAGCCAGGGAGAUGAGCUGAUGAUAUUCAAGCUUGCUUUUGUGUCUUCCAGUCCAGAGUAAAGUACAAUGGUUUCUGGGAUGCAUAAUCAGGAAGACAUUCGGUGCUUUGCCUCUUCCUGCCUUGCUUCUCUCAACUCUGACAAGGUGAACCUUUGUGGCAGAGAGGCGAUUCAAACCCUUCCAGUCAACUGACUUAACACAAUUCACAGCAAACAUGAAAUCUGCCACCUGUAUCACAAAAGGACAUGGUGGCAUAGGUGAAAAAUAAUCAGGGCAUACUUAUUUCAGGAAAUGUUCCAGGACACAUUAGAUGGAGCUUGGAGCAACUUGGUCUAUUGAGCAAUAUCCCUGCUUCUGUCAGGGAGCUUACAAUUAAAUGAUCUUUAUGGUCCCUUCUAGCCCAAAGCAUUCCAUGAUUAUUUACUUCUAUGACACAGAAAGCAUGUCAUGCCUUUGGUGAAGUGUCCCUAAGAAUGAAAAAUGAGAUUUCACUUCCUGUGUGUAUCAUGAUUAGCAGCUCUGUGAUGUGCAGCCAACUUUCCCUUGUAUUUGGAAAUAAAAGGAUACCUUCUUAUGGUAAGUAGUACCACAC